rnacentral:rRNA from 1 species
CACGUAGGGCGCAAGCGUUGUCCGGAAUUAUUGGGCGUAAAGAGCUCGUAGGCGGUCUGUUGCGUCCGCUGUGAAAACUCGGGGCUUAACCCCGAGCCUGCAGUGGAUACGGGCAGACUAGAGGUAGGUAGGGGAGAAUGGAAUUCCCGGUGUAGCGGUGAAAUGCGCAGAUAUCGGGAGGAACACCGGUGGCGAAGGCGGUUCUCUGGGCCUUACCUGACGCUGAGGAACGAAAGCUAGGGGAGCAAACAGG